rnacentral:ncRNA from 1 species
UUUUGUACACGCGGGAGCUCGGAGCACCGGGCUGAGAGGGCGCUGAACCCCGUACGGCACAGGCGUGGGACCACCUGGUCCCCGGCAGUGGCCGCACGGCAAUCGCUGCGUCGACCGCCGAACCUGUUACCGGGUAAUGCCGGCGUAGGGAGUAGGUCUCAUGACCAC